GCAAGUCGAACGGCAGCACGGACUUCGGUCUGGUGGCGAGUGGCGAACGGGUGAGUAAUAUAUCGGAACGUAUCCAAUAAUGGGGGAUAACUAAUCGAAAGGUUGGCUAAUACCGCAUACGCCCUACGGGGGAAAGCUAGGGACCUUCGGGCCUGGCGUUAAUGGAGCGGCUGAUAUCUGAUUAGCUAGUAGGUGAGGUAAAAGCUCACCUAGGCGACGAUCAGUAGCUGGUCUGAGAGGACGACCAGCCACACUGGAACUGAGACACGGUCCAGACUCCUACGGGAGGCAGCAGUGGGGAAUUUUGGACAAUGGGCGAAAGCCUGAUCCAGCCAUUCCGCGUGAGUGAAGAAGGCCUUCGGGUUGUAAAGCUCUUUCGCAAGGGAAGAAAACUUAGAUACUAAUAUUAUCUGAGGUUGACGGUACCUUGAUAAGAAGCACCGGCUAACUACGUGCCAGCAGCCGCGGUAAUACGUAGGGUGCGAGCGUUAAUCGGAAUUACUGGGCGUAAAGCGUGCGCAGGCGGUUUUGUAAGUCAGAUGUGAAAUCCCCGAGCUCAACUUGGGAACUGCGUUUGAAACUACAAGACUAGAAUAUGUCAGAGGGGGGUAGAAUUCCACGUGUAGCAGUGAAAUGCGUAGAGAUGUGGAGGAAUACCAAUGGCGAAGGCAGCCCCCUGGGAUAAUAUUGACGCUCAUGCACGAAAGCGUGGGGAGCAAACAGGAUUAGAUACCCUGGUAGUCCACGCCCUAAACGAUGUCUACUAGUUGUUGGUGGAGUAAAAUCCAUGAGUAACGCAGCUAACGCGUGAAGUAGACCG
rnacentral:rRNA from 1 species